CCGGCCGCGGGAAGUGACGAGACACCGCCCGCUCCGCCCCUCAGGAGGCGGGACAUGGAGCCUUCCCUCCCCCGGGCGCUGAGGGGUAAAGAAUAUCAGGUUGAUGCAGUGGAGUUAAUAAUGAUGAAAAGGGAAGAAAUUUGCGUUCCCAGCCUUUAAAGGGAACAAGGCUCAUAAACCGAGUGCCCCUUUCUCUGUUGGCUCCUCAUUUUCACGGAAAAGAUUAUUAAGGUUGGAAAAGACCUCCAAGGUAACUCCAACACGGUUUAAGCUUUCAAGUUCUAAUCUUUCAUCAAUAAAAAACCCCAAUUCAAACUAACAGCAGUUGGGUAGAUGGCACAGCUCCCCAAACACGCACUGCCUCAGGGAAACCCUUCACAACAGUGAGCUUUCUAGAGCAAAACCAGAGUCUGUUACUGCUGGGAAGUUUUUCCUAACCUGUAAUGUCACAAUGUGUUCUCAGGGAGUGACUUUGGGAGUAAGAGAAGAUUUACUUAUCAAACCAUCUGGAAAGAAUGUAGCUUUUAUUCACAAAAUGUGGCUAUAUGUGUGUAAAAAUACACCGGUGUAAUGCUACCAAAAUUCUCUUUAAGCAUUUUCCUCAUUGAAAGAAAAAGAUGGUUCUCACAAUUCUUACUAAAUCAGCACUUUGAGCACCAACAAAAAAGUUUCUAUAUCCCCAGGUUCCUACUGGGCAUUAAGAUUUCCCACAAAACCAAAAAUAGACAAGACAACAUCAAUCCUUCUCUCAGUAGGAAUGUGGAGGAGGGAGCAUUUGCUUCCAGAUGUCCUUUAUAAACAGUGGAAACCAAGGCAGGACACAGCCCUUCAGUGUUUAAAAAGUCAAUUUCUGUAAAAAAAGGUACCAGUUAGAACAACUGUUUUACCAAGUUGGGGAAUUCCAGCUCAUUUGCCGAUUUAUGGGCUUAGGUUUUGGGUUUUUUUUCUCUUCUAAAGUGAAUAUCCAGGAAUUAAUUAAUCUGUGAGGAUAUUUACUUUGCAGAGGUAGGGAGAAAUUUGAUGAUGAAUUCACAGAAACCCUGAAGCCAAGGAUUGAUAUUCAAGUCUGCAUUUCCUACAGCAGUUUUAACAGAUGUUGUAGUGAGGUGUUUAUUAUAACCCUCUACUGCAGUGCUUCAGAAUCUGCAGUUGGGAAAGAUCUGCAAAAUUAACUGUGAUUAUGUUUUAUUUUCACAGGAAUGAGCUUAAGCCUGACCAUCUUCAGGAACAGCAUUUGGAGACAGGAUAAUUGAUUUUAUCCAGAAAAUAUAAUAUGGUCAACUGGAAUUUACUUCCAUGGCAUGAUUUCUCAAUUUCUGAAUAAGCAAUUUCUGUUUAUUCAGAAAUUGCUUCCUUAUGAUCUUUCUGUUGAACAGCCACUGAGACAGGAAAAAACCUUCUGUGUUUUUUUCCCUUAUAUUUUUUCCUUUGAGUCUCUCCACUCUCAGCUGUGGUCUUAUAUUAGGAAGUGCUCUUAUUUGGUAAAUUUGUACGUUAAUUUCUAGGAGGAAAAUGCUUUCAUUACUCCAUAAAUGCAUUUGAACCUGCAAUUUGCUUUUUUUCCCCAUGAGAUUUAAAAAAACCCAAGCAAAACUACAGUGUUUGUUUCCUUAAAUCAGGAGCAUUUCAGCACCUGUGGCACUUCCCUUUGAGUGGCAGCUUCCACGUGGAAGAGUUAACCACUCUUGUCAUGUAAAAACAAGCUCCACACAGGUCUCCUGUGCACAAAGCUGCAGCAGCACCUGGAUGCUGCAUCCUCUCCUGACAAACACUUUGGAUAGUGAUGUGGAGGUAAAUCAAUACAAAAUGUUACGCCUGGUAAAUUUAAUCUUCAGCUUUUCUCCCUCUUUGCCUUCUUAUCUUCCCCUGAAGUGCUGUGUGCUUUUCCAGCUAUCUGGGAACAACGGCUGUUCAUCUCAGGUAAUAGAAAAGAAAUCCCAGAGCAGUUGCUCACGUGGAAAAAUGGUUUUAUAAAUCGCUUGGAUACUUCUGACUGUGGUACAUUCUGCUCGGUCCUGUUCUUGCUCAGCUGUGCCUCUCUUUGGAGUUCGUUUCCAGUGUCUUGCUGUUUCCUUCUGCUCCCUGUGUCUCUUCCUGCAGGCAUGCUGCCUCAUGGCUCACUUGUACUCCAGGGAAGUGGGAAGUCCUUACCAAUAUCAACUGUUGGUAAGUAUCCCCAGCCUUUAGGAAAAGCAUUCUCUGUGCUGGAAAACAGACUGGCAUUUGGAGCAGAGGACCAGGGUGACCUGUUAGCUCUCUGGCACAGCUCCUUGUGAACAGGUUCCCUAAGGGUUGGGUUGGAAUUAGCUGAGUAGCACACACGUUUUGGACAGCUCAUCUGCUGAGUCACUGGUGCAACAGAGCUGCUUGAACAGAACCAGCUGCAUCACAAAACCUGACACAGCAGCUGCUUACUCCUGCCAAGAGAUUGAAGCUGUUUCUUAAGCAAAUGGCUCAGGAAAAUAAGCACCUUAUUCCCAUGUUGUUGUCCAUUUCCAUUUAUUUUACAAGGCAUUGUUAACACAAUGAUAACAAGGUACUGAUCCAAACAAUUCAGUAACAAUUAAAAAAAGUAAACAUUUUUUGUGACCAUGUACAUUGAAUUGCACUUUUAAUAACAAGCAUUACACUUAUAUUUCCAUGUCAUACUUUAUAUAAUACAUGGAUGAUUUACUCAAGUACUGGCAGUACUGAAUUGUUCUCAGUUAAAAGUCUGAUGUCUCUGUGAUGCUCUUUUUUUGCUAACUCUUUAGAAAGAUUUGUGAACUUGGCACACAUACAGAUCACAAAGGCAAUUCCAAACCUGGAAAACUUCAUUGUAAUGGAGUCAGAGCUUUGAAGCUGCUCUGUUUUCAAUGGGCUGGAGUGAAUCCACCUAAAUGGCAGACACGGAGGGAGCUGGAUCAUGCUUGGGUAGACCCUUUUCUGUACUCACGUACCAUCUUUUCCCAGUUCAGAGAAGGCAAGGAAUCUUCUUCCCUGGAAAACAACAGUUCCCAAAGCUCCAGACAGUUCCUGGCACAGCUUUUGAGGGUGGUAUCAGCAGCAAUGCAAAUCCAGGGAUUACUGGAAAGAGGGAAUUGACACCUGGAGAAAAAUCUGGAAACAUCUGCUCUUGUUUGCAUUGGUAGUACCAUCCAUGUAUUAUAUAAAAUACAAAAAUAAGAGAAACUGUAGGGAAAUUAGUACAGCCCAGGAUUCUGGUGGUAUCAAAUCACAAAUGAAAUUUAUGAUACCAAAUCCUUUCAAUGUAUUUAUCCCCUUGCCGUUCAGUUUCUUAUAUAUAAUUCUAUAUAUAAGAUAUAGUUCUCCAAAGAUACAUAUCUAUUCCUUUACAGGUUAAAUAAAAGCAAGUCCCACUGAAUAAGAAAAUAAGAGGAAGUAAUGUCCUAAUUCUCUACCCAUAUCUUUUUUCUUUUUCAGGUAAAAAUAGCAUGAAAUACAUUCAGUAGCAAAGCAGUUGGAAUCCAGGAGAAACGGAGAGACUGUAUUCCUGGAGAAUUAACCUGUACGUGUUAAGUCACAAUCCUGAAGUAAUUUGUGUAGACUUCUGACUUGGGAAAUAUAGGAUCUUGAUCAAUGCUGAGCAUUAUUUAUCCAGUUGCAAAUUCCUUGCAUUUCCCAAAAGCCAUCUGUGGAUCAGCCCUGUUCUAAAAGCUGCUGUGACGUGCACCUACCCUAAAACUUGAGAGGUCCAAGCUUGAGUGCUUCAUCGCAUCUCCCUUUAGUGUUAAUGGGACAGCUCCCAGUAGGAUAUUAGCACAACAGACAGAAAUAUAAUUUGGGGUUACCCUUUGUGUUUGCAUGUCUAGGACAGCCAGCUGUGUGCAUAGCAGCCCCUUCAGCAGGGUCCCUGUCAGCCACAGCAGCCCCUCAGCCUUGAGGGGAACCUCUCUGCCCUCUCUUCACAAGCAAUCAGUGACACUCGCUGUGGUUUUCUCUCCAGCAGCUGGAAGAACAUCAGCACUGUGAGGUAAGAGUGCUUCUGGUUUCAAAGCCCAAAGGUGUUUGGCCUUAGAUGAUGCAGAAGUUGCCAAUUAUCCCCGAGUCUAACAGUAAAUCAAAAUCAGAGGUAUAGUUCUCCCUCACAUACAAGUAGUUUCAUGGAUUUCACUGCAGCUACUUAAUAGAAGGAAGGGAACAGACCCACCUUGAUCCUGUGAGAAAGUGUGGCAUGUAGCUUCCAAUGUGGCUUUUGAGACUUUAGUGCCACUAAAUGCAGAUUUUUAUUUACUCCUUAACUGCCACAUUCAGUCAGUGAGUGGCACCAUGACCCUGAAGUCAAUGGGAUACUUCAUGCUUUGUCAAGGGGCUGAAUUCCUGCAGUUCUUGACUCUCCCUCUCCCCUUGUAAAUGACUGUUUUGAUUUUGAAUUGUUUUUAACACAAUGGCACAGAUGAUCAUUUAUCUUAGAAGAAAUUUCAAGGGCCAACCAAGAGAAGUCCUUUAAAAUGUCUAACAAGGAAAAAAAGUAUUGCUUAACCUCUGUAAGCACUUUUAACAUAGCUGCAGCAAUGUAACUCAGCUGUAGCAAAUUAAAUCCUAAUUAACGGGCAGGACAAGGGUGGGUUUGUCAGCUAGCAGGACUGAUUACAUGGCUGACUACCUUCCCUGAGACUGGUUUUACUGAACAUCAAUGCACAUGGACUUCAGGGAUUUUGCAGUUUCUUGGCUUAACUCCACACAUCAUAUUUUCUAUAUUUUUUCUUUUUAAUUCUCUCCAGUUAUAUUUAGAAAUGUAAACUAAGUGAAAUAAGUCGUAUUACUUUAGAAUAUUAUGUUUGGUUCACAAAGAUAAUACAAGACUAGCUCACAGAUGUACCACAUAACUAAAUCAGCCUUGCUUCAUUUAGCCUGUAAAGUGUUACAGUCAAAGGAAAAACAACAACUGUUUAAAGUGAAAAAAAGUACUUUUUUCCUUUUUUUGCCCACCAUACUGGGCAUCUCAGGAACAGAUUAGAAUCCAACAAGAUAAACCAGUUCUAGUAAAAAUAUUCUUUGGAGGUUUGUCCCUAAUCAAAGUAAAGGCUUAAUUUCAGCAUGGUGCAUUCUCAAUAACAUUAAAAAAUAGGAUUUAGUUCCACAUAUAUAUUUAUAAAAUUCAAAUUAUUUUUAAAAAAGGUUUGAUGUGGACACACAGUUUAAUACUGACUCAGGGAAAAAAAGUUAAUCACUCCAGACUUACAAACUCUGUUAGCUGACAAAGUGCCACACAGAAAUAAGAGUUUCAGUGAGACUUUGAUGAUGUUUCCUGCUGAAAAGCUGAACAAGGAGCCAGCUCUCCCUGACAGAUCCAUGGGGAAUAAGUGUGCAGGUAGCUCUGUCACACAUGCAUGUUUUUCCUGCAGGAAGCUAAACUUUCCUGCAGCAUCUACAGUCAGCAGGCAGAAUUUUAGCUUGCCUGGUUUAAUCCUGCAGUCCUACUCCUUUCCUUGUUUCUGAAUAUUCACCAAGAUAAUGCCAUAAAGCUAUUUCCUUACUCUUUGGGUAGUUUUGAGAAGACACGGUUUCCAGCAAAAUGUUACUCUUCCUAAUGCCACUCCUACCUUGGAUCUACAGCUGGAAGGUGGAAUUCAUUUACUGCCUUUAUGUCAUUGCCUUCUGAAACUUCCUUUUGGUGAUGUAAGCCAGCUUCCAUCCUACCAGGGUUUGAAAGCAUCACAGCUAGCAGGUAGCAAACAUGCUUUUGUUCCAGAAAGUCAACUUCCAAAGUCAGAGGAGGCUCCUACACUGAGAAAAGGGAUGUUGUGUCAAAGCUCAUUCCAUGAACGUGGGGAGCUUAUUCCCAAUUCCUCUCUGAUGAACUGGGGAAGUCCCGCUCCCAUGAUCUGCUUCCACUCAUUGGACCCUUUGAGAUGAUUUAAACUCAGUUACUUGGCAAAAGACAAAUGGGGGGGAGGGAGGGAGAAUCCACCCACAUAUUUUUUUGUUGCUGUUUUUAAUCCUCUCCAGUAAGUGCUGUAACAAGGACAAGGGACAGGACUGUACAAGGGGGAGCUGGAGGGGUGAGAUCUUUGAGCAGCUGUGAGCUGUUAACUCAUCUGCUCAGGGAAUCACAGUAUUACACAUUUUUUCUAUUCCUGUUACUGCAUUUUUCCAAUCAAGGUUUUAAAUCCACUCCUACAUGUGAUUAAAGAUAAAUGAAAUGAGAAAUUCAGACACUUGUCAAACCACCAGUGUCACUGGAGGGCACAGUACUCUCAAAUGUAACAGUCAGAUGUUCACCAGGUAUCCUUAAAGGUCACUUCAGAUUUAUUACAAAUUCAGAUUCACAUCUGUGGAUGUGUGAAGCAGAACUGGUAACUGAAUGACUAAUGCUGGGUUUAGUCAGACAAGAGAAUGGAAACAUUUAUGCAAAUAUUAUGAGCAAAAAAGCCAUGAGGGAAAAAGACCUUUGCUAACGUUUACAAAAGAAAUUCCUUCUGUUUCCCCUCUUUUUUUUCCCUCACUGUAUUAAUAUUUACAGAUAAUCACUGUUCUUGCAGGUACAUUUUAAAAUACUAAAUUUUUUAACCCCUUAUUCUUAGAAGAUAGAAUGGUGUCAGGAUGCUGAUUAUAUUUUGAUCUCUACUUCAAACAGCUGACUGCAUUUCAGAAUCUUUACUUUGGCACUGGUAACAUUAAAUCUGUACUACCCUGUUGAAAAUAAUUCACAAUUAUGCUUGACAACAAAGCACAAGAUGGGUAUCACUGAAUUUUAUUGUACAAAACUGACAAGGUAUGGCAUUCCUUAGAAUUAAAAAAACCCCAACAAAACAGAACUUAUGUCCCUGGAACAAUUUUGCAAAUGGAACAAUUAAUACACAACCUUUAGUCCAGCAAUGACAUUUACCUGCAAGACCAUCUUUAGACAUGACAGGUAUAAUUAAAAAAAUAUUCCAUCAGUUCAAGCAAUAGUUUUCAUUUUCCAUGAAAUAAGUAUUUCUAUAAACACUUUAUGUUCAGUCAAAACAAAUGCUUUUAAACUUUCUUACCUUAAGAGAUACAAAACAACCAGACAGGUUUGGGAAUCACCAGAGAAGUCUUGCCCCACAGGAAAGUCUAGGGUUUGUAUUCCACUUGAAAAUGCUUGUUUUUAUAAAAAUAAGUAAUACCAACGUAGCAUUUCCUAACCAAAUACUUCUAGCAAACAGAUCUUGCUUCUGUGAUGUUUUAUUCCUCAGUGCAGCACAAGCCUUUUGGGUAUUUUAUUUGAUACCUCAUUUCUAUGUCAAAUUUGGAAUUUGAAUGUAGACCCAGGGAAAGGUUUUCAUUAGUUUUAUUUAUAAAACCUACCCUUUAUUGCACAGGAUUUAUAAAAGGUCAAAACUAUGCAAGGUCUUCACUCUCCUUCUCAUCAAAUGAGCGUUGAACAGUUUUCCCUUUAUCCCAGUGGAAGUAAUUAUUCCUCGGAAUUCUUAGUAUAAACAUGAAAUAAAAAAAAAAAGGGAACUAAGUAACUUUAUGUUAAAUUCCAGCUGAGCUGUAAAGAGCCAUCAAACAACAGCGCUAUAAAGAACUGCACUACUUGCAUUUCUGAAGGAAAACCAAUCCAAACUAAGGGAUUGUCAGGGAAGCUCAUGAGGGCUGUGCCUGAAGAGCACAAGCCCAUCUCUGCUAUGGCCUAAGCUUUACAAAAAGUGCUUAUCUGCAGGACGCAGUCGCUGCGAUAAACGGGGAUGGUCCCAGGGCCUGCGGCAUCCCAGACACCCGCACAUGAGCCAGGACUGAGCACACUGUGUUUUCCAGGGAGAGAGUAUGCUGCAGUGCUUCAUAUUUCCCGGUCUCCCUCUUCCUCCGGAAGAAGAAAAAAAACCUUUAAUACAUGACUAAUUCGAAAUUAUUUUUAUCUUGCAUAAAAGACCUAGGUUUGAAGUAUUUAUUUAACAUCUAGUCAUAUAAAAUGAAGUGUAAAAGUAUGACGGUAUCAGAACUUGGCUUUCAGCAAGGCAGUUUGGGAAGUAAGAAUUCAACAUAAACCAGGAAUUACUCCCCCCCCCCCCCCUUUGAAAAGGGUCACAUCAGAAAA